rnacentral:misc_RNA from 1 species
UCCGCCUUGGAGGCGGCAGUCUCUUAUGAAAUAACAACAUAAGAUGAGGGUUGCGCUCGUUUGCUGACUUAACAGUACACCUCAAGGCACGAGCUGACGACGACCGUGCAUCGCCUGUCUUCGAGUUCCUUACGGCACUCAUCCAUUUCUGGACGAUUCCCGAGAUGUCAAGUCUGGGUGAGGUUCUUCGCUUAUCAUCGAAUUAAACCCCAUGCUCCACCGCUUGUGUGGGUCCCCGUCUAUUCCUUUGAGUUUUAGCCUUGCGGCCGUACUUCCCAGGCGGCGUGCUUACCGCGUUAGCUAAGGCACUGGGAAAGAUUGAAUUCCCAACACCGAGCACGCAUCGUUUAGGGCGUGGACUAC